AGUAAAAGUCGUAACAAGGUUUCCGUAGGUGAACCUGCGGAAGGAUCAUUAAAGAGUAAGGGUGCUCAGCGCCCGACCUCCAACCCUUUGUUGUUAAAACUACCUUGUUGCUUUGGCGGGACCGCUCGGUCUCGAGCCGCUGGGGAUUCGUCCCAGGCGAGCGCCCGCCAGAGUUAAACCAAACUCUUGUUAUUAAACCGGUCGUCUGAGUUAUAAUUUUGAAUAAAUCAAAACUUUCAACAACGGAUCUCUUGGUUCUCGCAUCGAUGAAGAACGCAGCGAAAUGCGAUAAGUAAUGUGAAUUGCAGAAUUCAGUGAAUCAUCGAAUCUUUGAACGCACAUUGCGCCCCUUGGUAUUCCGAGGGGCAUGCCUGUUCGAGCGUCAUUACACCACUCAAGCUAUGCUUGGUAUUGGGUGCCGUCCUUCACUGGGCGCGCCUUAAAGACCUCGGCGAGGCCUCACCGGCUUUAGGCGUAGUAGAAUUUAUUCGAACGUCUGUCAAAGGAGAGGACUUCUGCCGACUGAAACCUUUUAUUUUUCUAGGUUGACCUCGGAUCAGGUAGGGAUACCCGCUGAACUUAAGCAUAUCAAUAAGCGGAGGAAAAGAAACCAACAGGGAUUGCCUCAGUAACG
rnacentral:rRNA from 1 species